AUUGAACGCUGGCGGCAGGCCUAACACAUGCAAGUCGAGCGGUAACACAGGGAGCUUGCUCCCGGGUGACGAGCGGCGGACGGGUGAGUAAUGUCUGGGAAACUGCCUGAUGGAGGGGGAUAACUACUGGAAACGGUAGCUAAUACCGCAUAACGUCGCAAGACCAAAGGGGGGGACCUUCGGGCCGCUUGCCAUCAGGUGUGCCCAGAUGGGAUUAGCUAGUAGGUGGGGUAACGGCUCACCUAGGCGACGAUCCCUAGCUGGUCUGAGAGGAUGACCAGCCACACUGGAACUGAGACACGGUCCAGACUCCUACGGGAGGCAGCAGUGGGGAAUAUUGCACAAUGGGCGCAAGCCUGAUGCAGCCAUGCCGCGUGUAUGAAGAAGGCCUUCGGGUUGUAAAGUACUUUCAGCGGGGAGGAAGGUGCUGAGGUUAAUAACCUCAGCAAUUGACGUUACCCGCAGAAGAAGCACCGGCUAACUCCGUGCCAGCCGCCGCGGUAACAC
rnacentral:rRNA from 1 species